GGUAGAAUGGCUGAGCAUAAGCAUUGGACUGUAAAUCCAAAGACAGAGUUAAUACCUCUUUUUA
rnacentral:tRNA from 1 species